CCCGCAUGCCGCGACUUCACAUAUCUCACGCGCAACCUCCACCUCGUCGCGGCGUACAUCCGAAAUACGACUGUAGCCGCCCGAUGUAGAGCUGGAAAUAAUUUUAAGUCGGAUUGUGGUUAUCGCUCCGAACAUCGAGGACAAUACUUUUCUAGUUUAGGUACGACGGCGGACGGAGUCGACUGCGGAGUGUGGACUGACAUUGGCCCGGAUACUGUAGACGAGCGCGCACGUCUACUCGUUGUGCAAACACGCAGAUUUUUCUGGAAUGUCACAAAGAAACUUGGCUGCUGAGAAUGUAUAGUUUUCGGCGGUCGGCGUCCGCUAUCGACCAGUCGUGAGUCGUCUAAUGCUCGUAAUGCCGACGCAUUCUUCAACCACGGAUCUGUAUCUCCCGACCCACUCACAUGAUUCUUGUCGUUUUUGGUUUUCAUGCCUGAUCUACCGCAAGCGGCGUAGGCCGAAAUCAUGUGACUGCAUAGGCAAGCCCCGACGUCAAAAAUGUAAAGUCGACAAUAACGUUAGUUUUAUUGACGAAACGCUGACUUUUAAAUACGAUCGUACGCCGUAGGCGCGUCGUAAAACAUUUUCUUUCGCUACGAAUAACUGAGCUAAUCUUUAUUUUUGCGGUGAACCCGAUGUUCCUGGAAGACAUUUGGGAGGACGGUCGCCGGUGACUGGAGCGGUUAGCGGGCGCCGAUCGGAGCGCGCGCCGCCGCUGCAGUUACACCACGCCGCGAAUCACCUUGAGACAUCAGCACCAUAUCCUAAAUAUAGACAUCGGAUUACGUAUUCGAGGUGACAGACAAUACGGCAUCGCAUCGCGCACGCUCACAAGUACAGGGGAGCGAAAUGGGACGAAGCUAUACAGUUAAAAGCCCCGCCGCAAUUGUUAUUUUUUAAGGACGUAAAGGUAAAAGAAGGGCUAUACAAGGCAUUUUAAGAAACAUAAUAUCUAAAGACUAUUCAAACCAAGCUUUAUACCCGGAAAGCAGUGCCGCAUCAAGUGCAGCUCGAGGGCGAGUCUAAAUAUUUUGUUGAUGGCUAUACUGAACCGCUACAUCUUCAAAUCAAAUCAAAUCAAAUCAUUUUAUUUGCGAAUACAGGCUACAUAGAUUAUACAGAUGUUAUGUAUUGAUGGGAAAUCUCGCCAUAUUCAACCCUUACUGGGCAUGCAAAUGAGUGAAUGGAGACAUUUAUAUCAUUCAUUAACUUCUAUUAAAAGUGAUAUACAGUUCCCUUAUUAUAUUGCUUAUCAUUAUAUAUGCUUAAAUAAAGUGUUUUAAUUUG